UUUCGUGCGUUCCUCCUCGCGACUCGACAUCCUUCGAGAGUGGGGGGGGGAACACGGUGCGAAUUAAACACCGCAACCAAAUCGACUUUUUUCAAAAAAAAAGUGAUUGCGUCGAAUCAGUCAGGUGAAUCUCCGUGAAGGAAAAAGGUGAAUAAGGAGCAGAAAUCAUGGGCCGUGGUGUCUGAAAAGGAUAAACUCAAAGCAGCUGCUAAAGAACUAAGUGAGGCUGUCCACAGUAAUAGCAGCUCACAGGUCUGAAGCUAUUUUUCUUGUUUUGGGAUGGAAAUUUACCCCAAUCUCACUUCUGACGCAAUGUUUCAAAUACACAACAUGAAAGUGUGUUCAAUACAAGGAGUUUAUUGCAGUGAAGAUGCAAUAUAUGCCGACAGGACUACCAUGUUUUCUUCUGGACAUGUCUUCAAUAAUAUUUGGCCUGUUAAUAACAGAUCCAAGCUCAUCCCUCAGAUAUCUGUGUGCAGUGUGUUUAUAAUUGUAACUAUCAACCAAAUAAAGGAUCUAAUUGUUAUUUUUGAAA